rnacentral:rRNA from 1 species
UGGGGAAUUUUGGACAAUGGGCGAAAGCCUGAUCCAGCAAUGCCGCGUGUGUGAAGAAGGCCUUCGGGUUGUAAAGCACUUUUGUCCGGAAAGAAAUCCUUGGCUCUAAUACAGUCGGGGGAUGACGGUACCGGAAGAAUAAGCACCGGCUAACUACGUGCCAGCAGCCGCGGUAAUACGUAGGGUGCAAGCGUUAAUCGGAAUUACUGGGCGUAAAGCGUGCGCAGGCGGUUUGCUAAGACCGAUGUGAAAUCCCCGGGCUCAACCUGGGAACUGCAUUGGUGACUGGCAGGCUAGAGUAUGGCAGAGGGGGGUAGAAUUCCACGUGUAGCAGUGAAAUGCGUAGAGAUGUGGAGGAAUACCGAUGGCGAAGGCAGCCCCCUGGGCCAAUACUGACGCUCAUGCACGAAAGCGUGGGGAGCAAACAGGAUUAGAUACCCUGGUAGUCCACGCCCUAAACGAUGUCAACUAGUUGUUGGGAUUCAUUCCUUAGUAACGUAGCUAACGCGUGAAGUUGACCGCCUGGGGAGUACGGUCGCAAGAUUAAAACUCAAAUGAAUUGAC